UACGUAGGGUGCAAGCGUUGUCCGGAAUUAUUGGGCGUAAAGAGCUCGUAGGCGGUUUGUCGCGUCUGCUGUGAAAACCUAAGGCUCAACCUUGGGCUUGCAGUGGGUACGGGCAGACUAGAGUGCGGUAGGGGUGACUGGAAUUCCUGGUGUAGCGGUGAAAUGCGCAGAUAUCGGGAGGAACACCGGUGGCGAAGGCGGUUCUCUGGGCCUGACCUGACGCUGAGGAGCGAAAGCGUGGGGAGCGAACAGG
rnacentral:rRNA from 1 species